rnacentral:rRNA from 1 species
CCUACGGGAGGCAGCAGUGGGGAAUUUUGGACAAUGGGGGCAACCCUGAUCCAGCCAUUCCGCGUGAGUGAAGAAGGCCUUCGGGUUGUAAAGCUCUUUCGCAAGGGAAGAAAACUUAUGAUCGAAUAAAUCAUGAGGUUGACGGUACCUUGAUAAGAAGCACCGGCUAACUACGUGCCAGCAGCCGCGGUAAUACGUAGGGUGCGAGCGUUAAUCGGAAUUACUGGGCGUAAAGCGUGCGCAGGCGGUUUUGUAAGUCGGAUGUGAAAUCCCCGGGCUCAACCUGGGAACUGCGUUCGAAACUGCAAGGCUAGAGUGUGUCAGAGGGGGGUAGAAUUCCACGUGUAGCAGUGAAAUGCGUAGAGAUGUGGAGGAAUACCAAUGGCGAAGGCAGCCCCCUGGGAUAACACUGACGCUCAUGCACGAAAGCGUGGGGAGCAAACAGGAUUAGAUACCCUGGUAGUCCACGCCCUAAACGAUGUCAACUAGUUGUUGGUAGAGUAAAAUCUAUGAGUAACGUAGCUAACGCGUGAAGUUGACCGCCUGGGGAAGUACGGUCGCAAGNUUAAAACUCAAAGGAAUUGACCGGNNGAGAGNGCGAGACGACGACGAGGGAGGAGG